rnacentral:rRNA from 1 species
CACGUAGGGGGCGAGCGUUGUCCGGAUUUAUUGGGCGUAAAGAGCUCGUAGGCGGUUUCGUAAGUCUGAUGUGAAAACUCCAGGCUCAACUUGGAGACGCCAUUCGAUACUGCGAUGACUUGAGUCCGGUAGGGGAGUGUGGAAUUCCUGGUGUAGCGGUGAAAUGCGCAGAUAUCAGGAGGAACACCGGCGGCGAAGGCGGCACUCUGGGCCGGUACUGACGCUGAGGAGCGAAAGCGUGGGGAGCGAACAGG